GACGAACGCUGGCGGCGUGCCUAAUACAUGCAAGUCGAGCGGACCUUUUAAAAGCUUGCUUUUGAAAGGUCAGCGGCGGACGGGUGAGUAACACGUGGGCAACCUGCCUGUAAGACUGGGAUAACUUCGGGAAACCGGAGCUAAUACCGGAUAAUAUAAGGAACCUCCUGGUUCUUUAUUGAAAGAUGGUUUCGGCUAUCACUUACAGAUGGGCCCGCGGCGCAUUAGCUAGUUGGUGAGGUAACGGCUCACCAAGGCGACGAUGCGUAGCCGACCUGAGAGGGUGAUCGGCCACACUGGGACUGAGACACGGCCCAGACUCCUACGGGAGGCAGCAGUAGGGAAUCUUCCACAAUGGACGAAAGUCUGAUGGAGCAACGCCGCGUGAGCGAUGAAGGCCUUCGGGUCGUAAAGCUCUGUUGUUAGGGAAGAACAAGUGCGAGAGUAACUGCUCGCACCUUGACGGUACCUAACCAGAAAGCCACGGCUAACUACGUGCCAGCAGCCGCGGUAAUACGUAGGUGGCAAGCGUUGUCCGGAAUUAUUGGGCGUAAAGCGCGCGCAGGUGGUCCUUUAAGUCUGAUGUGAAAGCCCACGGCUCAACCGUGGAGGGUCAUUGGAAACUGGGGGACUUGAGUGCAGAAGAGGAAAGUGGAAUUCCAAGUGUAGCGGUGAAAUGCGUAGAGAUUUGGAGGAACACCAGUGGCGAAGGCGACUUUCUGGUCUGUAACUGACACUGAGGCGCGAAAGCGUGGGGAGCAAACAGGAUUAGAUACCCUGGUAGUCCACGCCGUAAACGAU
rnacentral:rRNA from 1 species